CCCUUAGAUGUUCUGGGCAGCACGCGCGCUACAAUGGUCUUCGCAAACGGAUGCAUUCUCGAAGGAGAAUGCCAAUCUUGCAAUCUAUGCCUUGGUCGGGACAGUUGCUUGCAAUUUUUCGACUCGAACCAGGAAUUCCUUGUAAUCGUGAUUCAUCACAUCACGAUGAAUACGUCCCUGCCCUUUGUACACACCGCCCGUCGCUCCUACCGAUCGAAGAGUUAGGUGAAUUGUUUUGAUCGAUAAGAUUUGACUAUGGUCAACUCUCGUUGUGAAAUUCUGUGAAUCUGACUGUUUAGAGGAAGGAAAAGUCGUAACA
rnacentral:rRNA from 1 species